rnacentral:rRNA from 1 species
GUUCCUGGCUCAGGAUGAACGCUAGCUACAGGCUUAACACAUGCAAGUCGAGGGGAAACGACAUCGAAAGCUUGCUUUUGAUGGGCGUCGACCGGCGCACGGGUGAGUAACGCGUAUCCAACCUGCCCAUCACUUGGGAAUAACCUUGCGAAAGUAAGACUAAUACCCAAUGAUAUCCCGCGAAGGCAUCCGAAUGGGAUUAAAGAUUUAUCGGUGAUGGAUGGGGAUGCGUCUGAUUAG